GACUAGGUUGCCGAGUGGUUAAGGCGUUGGACUGCUAAUCAAAUGUGCGCUGCACGCGUGGGUUCGGAUCCCAUUAUCGUCG
rnacentral:tRNA from 1 species